UUGAAUUGCGUUUAACGUGUCUUUCAAAAUCAACAGUCAGCGAAAUAAGAUGAGGUACAGUGUAUUACUAGUGGUGUAUAUGGUACUAGGUGUUAGUCUGACACUAGGUAUGCAGAUAAGUUCACGGUACCCACAUUACGACUGGGACACAAAACAAGAGAAAGUUAUGCCCGUACCGGUUGUUUAUAAGAAGGUGGAUAGUGUAUUGCCAGUCUUGCUGUCUCUUGUACUAUCACAAUUUUUCCGUCGUUCAACAUCUCUAACUGACACUGAAACACUGAGAGAGAACGGCAUUACCGUGAUCACGGAAGAUCCAUGCUGCUAAAUUUACUGGUCAAUUUCAAGGAGAGGAUACCGCCUACCGUCAUCUAAUGAUUUCUUCACAUCUGAGUUCAGCAGUAGGAUCGUUAUAUCGUAUUCACGUUUAAAAUCACUAAUUAUAUCGUUACACUGUGACUUUUUUACCUCUGAGAUUACUAGGCAAAUAGUUAUAUCGUUAUACAAUGGCUUUUGUUACCUCUGAGAGCACUAGGCAAUCAUUAUAUCGUUAUACAAUGGCUUUUUUACCUCUGAGAUCACUAGACAAAUCAUUAUAUCGUUAUACAAUGGCUUUUUUUUACCUCUGAGAUCACUAGACAAAUCAUUAUAUCGUUACACUGUGACUUUUUUACCUCUGAGAUUACUAGGCAAAUCAUUAUAUCGUUAUACAAUGGCUUUUUUUACCUCUGAGAUCACUAGACUAAUAAUUAUAUCGUUAUAUAAUGGCUUUUGUUACCUCUGAGAUCACUAGGUUAAUCAUUAUAUCGUUAUACAAUGGCUUUUUUUACCUCUGAGAUCACUAGGCAAAUCAUUAUAUCGUUAUACUAUGGCUUUUUUUACCUCUGAGAUCACUAGACAAAUCAUUAUAUCGUUAAACAAUGGCUUUUUUAACCUCUGAGUUCACUAAGCAAAUUGUUAUAUCGUUACACAAUGGCUUUUUUACCUCUGAGAUCACUAGGCAAAUCAUUAUAUCGUUAUACAAUGGGUUUUUUACCUCUGAGAUCACUAGGCAAAUCAUUAUAUCGUUAUACAAUGGCUUUUUUUUACCUCUGAGAUCAUUAGGCAAAUCAUUAUAUCGUUAUACAAUGGCUUUUUUACCUUUGAGAUCACUAGGCAAAUCAUUAUAUCGUUAUACAAUGGCUUUUUUUACCUCUGAGAUCACUAGACAAAUCAUUAUAUCGUUAAACAAUGGCUUUUUUUACCUCUGAUAUCACUAGGCAAAUUGUUAUAUCGUUACACAAUGGGUUUUUUACCUCUGAGAUCACUAGGCAAAUCAUUAUAUCGUUAUACAAUGGCUUUUUUUACCUCUGAGAUCACUAGGCAAAUAAUUAUAUCGUUAUACAAUGGCUUUUUUACCUCUGAGAUCACUAGACAAAUCAUUAUAUUGUUAUACAAUGGCUUUUUUUACCUCUGAGAUCACUAGGCAAAUCAUUAUAUCGUUAUACAAUGGCUUUUGUUACCUCUGAGAGCACUAGGCAAAUCAUUAUAUCGUUAUACAAUGGCUUUUUUUACCUCUGAGAUCACUAGACUAAUAAUUAUAUCGUUAUAUAAUGGCUUUUGUUACCUCUGAGAUCACUAGGCUAAUCAUUAUAUCGUUAUACAAUGGCUUUUUUACCUUUGAGAUCACUAGGCAAAUCAUUAUAUCGUUAUACAAUGGCUUUUUUUACCUCUGAGAUCACUAGACAAAUCAUUAUAUCGUUAAACAGUGGCUUUUUUACCUCUGAUAUCACUAGGCAAAUUGUUAUAUCGUUACACAGUGGCUUUUUUACCUCUGAGAACACUAGGCAAAUCAUUAUAUCGUUAUACAAUUGUUUUUUUUACCUCUGAGAUCACUAGGCAAAUCAUUAUAUCGUUAUACAAUGGCUUUUUUACCUCUGAGAUCACUAGGCAAAUCAUUAUAUCGUUAUUCAAUGGCUUUUUUACCUCUGAGAUCACUAGACAAAUCAUUAUAUCGUUAUACAAUGGCUUUUUUACCUCUGAGAUCACUAGGCAAAUCAUUAUAUCGUUAUACAAUGGUUUAUUUUACCUCUGAGAUCACUAGGCAAAUCAUUAUAUCGUUAAACAAUGGCUUUUUUACCUCUGAGAUCUCUAGACAAAUCAUUAUAUCGUUAUACAAUGGCUUUUUUACCUCUGAGAUCACUAGGCAAAUCAUUAAAUCGUUAUACAAUGGCUUUUUUUACCUCUGAGAUCACUAGGCAAAUCAUUAUAUCGUUAUACAAUGGCCUUUUUUACCUCUGUGUUCACUAGGCAAAUCUUUAUAUCGUUAUACAAGUUUCAUCACCUCUGAGAUCACUAGAUUAAUUGUUUCAACUUCUUAUCUUCAGCUGUAUUACUUUAUAUGAUAAACCAGUUUUACAAGUGCAGUGUUAUAGUUAGAACAAUGUCUCAAUCUCACAUGUAAACAAGUCAUAUGUAAACAAGAUAAUAUUUACAAAAAUGCUCUUUACUAUUUUAAACUACAUUCACAUUUGUUUAGACAGGAAAUCUCUGACGAAAUAAAGUAUUAAUAUUAUUCCUAAUUA